UGGACAGCUUGAAGACAAACACAUUUUUCAUGAUUUAAAAAAAGUUUCAAGGCACAGGGUCAAGAUCAUGGAAGAAGCCAAGACCAAAAAAACAAACAAACAAACAAAAAAGAAAUAAAAAAUAGAGCAUUCCAACAAAGGCCAGCCAAGCUAAAAAUCUCACACACUUUCUGCCAAUAUCUUUGGCUAGUUUCAUUCUUACAUAUUUUUCUAAUUAAAUAUAUGUGUAUCUGUGAGUCUCCAACUCAUGUAUCCUAUACACAUUAGUAGUCAAUAAAUACUUUUUAAUGAGACUAUGAUGAUAUCUGGAGCAAGUUGCCCCACUGGAGUCUAGUGACUCUUUAAAAACAUCUUUAUAGACUUCAGUACGAUAAAGACAUAAAUUGAAUUCUCAGAUAUUGGGAUUCCAAUAAAUAAAGUCCAGGAUAAUGCAAGGAUGGACUGAGACCAAGACAGAAACCCAGUUACACUGGGGGACCUAAAGAUAGACCUAAUCUGGUAAAGAUGAUUUCAUCUGAUUCCUUCUUUUUUUUUUUUUUUUGAAGAUAAGGAAAAUGAGGCUCAAAGAUGUUAAGUGAUUAUCCCAAAGUCACACUAUUAAUUUCUGGCACUAAUAGAAGUAGCACCCAGGCAUUAGGACUCCAAAGUAAGUACUUUUCCAAAUAUUGCAUCCUGCAUUCAGUGAAGUCUACCCAGGAUCUACCAGGCCUAAUUACAUAGUAAUCUAAGUAUAAUUUUCACACUUGAUCUUAGCCAAAAGGCUGAGAAGCGACCUAACUGUAAUUUCCUUCAGUAAGGAUAACAAACUUUCUUAGAGGUACACUGUUCAAGGCCCAGAACACAGUGGACCUAUUUGAAAAAGGAGCAAUUAAUUGUUAAAUGAACCACGAACUAGAAGAUAAGUUCUUCCACUUAUCCUUUGUCCAUGUGCAAAGUAAUUAUUUUUACCUUGAGUUGAUUUUUCUAUAAUCUCAUUACCUUAUGAAGAAGUGUUUUGUUCAUGAAAAUAUGAAGCGUGUUGUUAUUGAUACUUGACCGCACCAUCACCAAGGGCAAUAUACUAUUUUUCUUGUUAUGGUGCCCAAGAGACAGCCACUCUCUGCAAAAAUUAUUCCUUCUAAAAUUGCU
rnacentral:lncRNA from 10 species